CUCCACUCUCUCUUGCUCGAAUCUCACUGUCCACUCUCCACUCUCUCUCGCUCGACUCUCACUUUGAUGAAGAUAUGAAGAUUUUGAUCGAUUAUUAAUGAAGAUUUGAAGACUUCAAUCUACUGUUGAUGAAGAUCUGGAUCGAUUCAUAAUCGUUCUGGAUACUGCGGCAGGAGUCUGGUGUGAUACAAAGUCUGUUGUUACCACUCCCAGGACAGACAGAUACAGUGCUGAUGCUGCUGGUGGAGAUGCUGCUGUUGAACUGACGAGACGCUGUAGGCAUGCUGCCGCUGCUAUUGGUGACCUGAUAUUUAUCUAUGGUGGUCUACGUGGUGGGGUUUUACUUGAUGACCCACUAGUUGCUGAAGAUCUGGCUGCUGCUGAGACAACGAGUGCUGCUUCACAUGCUGCAGCUGCAGCUGCUGCAUCCAAUGUACAGGUGGGAAGGUUACCUGGAAGAUAAGUGUUUGCUGAUGAAAGAACCAGGCAAACGAUUCCUGAUGCAGUUUCUGAUGGUUCAGUUGUGCUGGGAAGUCCUGUAGCUCCUCCCAUAAAUGGUGAUAUGUAUACUGAUAUCAGCACUGAAAAUGCGAUGCUCCAGGGUAGCCGGUCCCAAUAAUAGCAAUGGUUAUGGGUGAAAGGGUUUGAUGGCAAGGAUACUUUGUCCCAAAUUUGGGGGAUAUCUUACUUUUGGUACCCUUGAGAUAGUACCAACAAUUGAUAAUUUGGUGAACUUGUACAAUCUCAGACAGAUAAGACUUGAUACAAAAGUAUUUGGCAUUAUUGGGAAGCCUGUUGCCCACAGCAAGUCACACAUUAAUCAAAGAUAAAAAAAUUUCAUGAAACAUUUCAUGAUAUUUUUUUCAUGGUCCCUAAUAUUAUUCUUUCUACAAUGAAGCAUUCAAAGAGGUUGGCUUUAAUGGAGUUGAACUUUCUCUAGACUUAUUCAUCUACAGAUUUUGCUGGGUUCAGGUUCAAUAUUAAGAUUUGAUAAUAGUAGUAUAAUAUAAUAUUUGAAUUGUUACUCGUUCAUGGUUUGGCAUAUGUUU